rfam:Asian citrus Psyllid, Diaphorina citri - Florida Strain, whole genome shotgun sequence.
GCUGGCAACGCGUAUUCUUGGGUCAUUUAACACUGAUUUUGAGUUGUUAUUGCUUGAGAAUACACGUCGCUUCC